UCCCCAAAUUAAUUUACUAAUUUCCUUAAACUGUUUAUUUUGUUUACAAACCGUUCAUACCACACCCCAAAUCCGCAACUCAUUAUCCAAUUCGAGCUCAUCCCAUAACACAUAAAUAUCCGGUGCACAAGGUCACUUCCUCUUUGGCAAUCUCCUCACCUGGGGUCACGCAGGCAGCACGGCUGGUUGGCAGCAGAAAUUACACACUACCUUCACUAAACGGUCGAUCCUAACAUUAUAGAGACUCAGCGGUCAGGUUUUUUUUGUUACCCCUUCCUUUCCCUGGAUUGGAUCCGUCGUAAGACUGGCGAGCUACCCAAGGAACUCUGAACUCCCCACACCUCCCCCCCUUUCCCAAAGAAGACUACCACGGUUAGGGUAGGAACAAGGACUCUGGGACAUGAGGACCUGAACUGAUUUAAGGUCGAUUAAAGAAAGGGCAGAACUUUAAUUUUUUGGCAUUUUUUUAAAAAGGCCUCCCUUUGUUAUUAUUGAUGGAUUGUUUGAAGUUGUUUGUGUUUAUUAUUUGGAAAAAAUAUUAUUUGUCAAUACACUUACUUUAAACUUAACUUCUGUAUUUGUUGUAUUAUUCACACACCCUGGGCUUCCUUUGAGACGAACCUAAGUUUUCUGAAUUACCUAAUUUUCCACUAUUUAUUAUUUCAAUUUUUUCCAAUUAAUAUAAUUUUCGUUUAUCUAGGUUAACAUAUUCAAAAUGUUACAGUAGGCAUAGAGCAUUGAUGACUCUUCCAUAGGUUUGAAGGUACCCUUCUGGCAGAGUAAUAAUAAAUGCCUGCAGGAUUCAACCCUCUGACAAGAACAAGGCUCUCUCAUCUUUCUGAGGGCAGCAGAUGAGUUUUGUCAAUGUCCUUUUUUGGGAGGUUAUCUGUAGCUCUACUAUACAGACACGUUCCUUGAUGUCGCAGAAAGUAUCGAGGGAAGAAAACUCUCCAGCUGAAGCUGGGACAACACCCACAAAGCAACACAAGAUGGUAGUUUGGGGCUUUUAUUCCCUGUGCCUCAUCUGUCUCCUGCAAUCAGAGAGGAGAAAAUGUCCUUUUCCCACCUUGGUGUGAAGUGCUGCAAGGGCUCCUGGGAAGAUCAGUCCCUUGGCUGUUAUGGUUUCAGAUCUCUGUUUCCCACAUGGCUGAUCCCAACAGUAUCAAUGUGCUGUCUUUGCAAUAUUAAAACUGAACAAAACACAUUAAAUCCUUUUUCCCUCUUUGUCGGGAUGGGGGCUGACCUUUUCUAGAACGGAAAGCCAAGAAAAUUGCUGUGAAGGUGAAGGUGAGCUCUGGAGUGGAUCCAAAUCUCCCUUCAGUGAGCGACGCUCUGCUGAAGCAGUUUCAGGCUCAGCUGGAGGAGAUGGGUUUGUCUAAUUUCAAGAUCAGGUGGAGAGUUCAGAAGAACGGACAAAUAUUCCAUCAUGAAGAAGAAGAAGAAAACAAAAAAAAUUGUAAACAACCCUUCCUCUGACUAUCAAGAGCAAUGAUGCAGUAGCUUGCAUGUGUUUUUCAGUUUAGUACUUUGAUUUAACUGUAAAAGAAGAGACUGAGAGAAAGCUGAGCUGUAGGGAUGUGCAGGUGAGGCUGUUUACUCCAUGUACUGUAAAAAUUAGAGUAUAUGAUGCACUUUCAACUCCUUUUUUUAUUUAAAAAUGUGUGUGCAACAUAUUUACUAAUGGGACCUGUUUAUCUUUUUUAAAAGCAUUUUCUUGUGGGACAUUUUUACCUUAGACCGACUAAACCUGUCUGUGACACUGUAUCGCCUUGCUUUCCCAAGGAUAAUGACACUAUUAUUGCUAACUUCAAAAAUACCUAAAGAUCCCUUUAAAACUCUUUUCAGACCGGUUGUGUAGUGACCACAUAACAACUGUGCCAUGGUUUCAUUUUCAUUUCAGUAUGUAUGGUAGCAGGUCACAGGCCUCACAGGCCUGAUACAUGCAUGCAUGCAAGAAUCAAAAGCAUAGAAGGAUAGCCUAUUUAUAUAUAUAUAUGCAGUAUGUUUAGAUAUAUGAAGUGUGUUUGGGUUGUGUUUCUUAAUGACCUUGACGAA